ACGUUAAAUUGAAGGCUGUGCCCACAGACGCGGCACCGGGUUGGCCUCCAUCCCAAUUCUGGUGCGAGUCACGGGUUUGAGCAGGUCUGGGUCCCCAGGGGAUGGAUCGCGUGUGGAGUGCGUGGUACGGAAAGUGCGUCAAAGAGAAAGGGUCGUCGCCAGUAUGGGCCCAGAGCAUCGUGGUUUCCUGGCUCAGCAGGGCCGAGUGGGACCAGGUGACGGUCUAUCUGUUUUGUGAUGACCAUAAGUUGCAGCGGUACGCGCUGAACCGCAUCACGGUGUGGAGAAGCAGGUUAGGCAACGAGCUCCCCCUGGCAGUGGCUUCUACUGCUGACCUGAUACGCUGUAAGCUCAUGGAUGUAACUGGUGGCUUGGGCACUGAUGAACUUAGACUGCUCUAUGGCAUGGCAUUAGUCAGGUUUGUGAAUCUUAUCUCGGAGAGGAAGACAAGGUUUUCCAAGCUCCCCCUCAAGUUCCUUGCUCAGGAGGUGAACAUUCCAGAUUGGAUUGUUGAACUUCGCCACAAGUUGACCCACAAGAAAAUGCCCCAUAUAAAUGACUGCCGCAGAGGCUGCUACUUUGUCUUGGAUUGGCUCCAGAAGACCUACUGGUGCCAUCAGCUGGAAAACAGCCUAAGAGACUCCUGGGAAUUGGAGGAAGACAAAGUGGACACAGAAGACCAAGAAGAAGAUAAGAAUACUGUUGAUGACAUCAUAGAACAGAAACCAGAGCCUCAGGACGAUGGGAAAGGUGCAGAGUUGGAUAUCAGGGAUGAUGGAGACAGUAAAGGCAGUGAAGAGGUGGAUUCUCAUUGGGAAAAGGCUCUGAAACAUAAGGAGUUGUAUGAAAAAGCCCGAGAACUUUUGGUAUCUUAUGAAGAGGAGCAGUUUAAGGUGCUGGAGAAAUAUAGGUAUUUACCUCAGGCCGUUAAAGUGUGGAAUAACCUCUCCCCACGUGUAGACUGGAUCCUGGCAGAGCUCAAGGGCAUUAUAUGGGAGAACAGGAAUGCUGUGCUGGAUGCGUUUUUGGAUGAUGGCUUCCUCAUUCCCACAUUUGAGCAGUUGGCAGCUUUGCAGAUAGAAUAUAAAGAUGAUCAUACUGAGGUCCAGAAAGGGGAAAGUACUGGCCCAAAGUCACACAAAAACAUGGAUUUGGAUGACGUCUUGGUGCCAAAGCCGUUCUCUCAGUUCUGGCAGCCCCUGCUCAGGGGCCUGCACUCCCAGACCUUCACACAGGCCCUGCUGGAGAGGAUGUUCUCUGAGCUGCCAUCCUUGGGAGACAGUGGGAUCCGGCCCACCUACAUCCUUAGAUGGACCAUUGAACUGAUCGUGGCCAACACCAAGACUGGACGGAAUGCUCGCCAAUUUUCUGCAAGCCAGUAUGAAGCAAGAAGGAGCUGGAGACUUUUCAACUGCUCCACCUCCCUUGACUGGCCCCAGGUGGUUGAGUCCUGCUUGGGCUCACCUUGCUGGGCUAGCCCCCAACUCCUUCAGCUACCUGUCUGUGCUUGAUCACUUCAGUCACUCAUCAGCACCCUCAGAUCUGCUCAUCCUUUGGCUGUGUCUGACUUGCAAACCCCCAAGCUGGGAUUGAUCCUCCCCACUCUGCUUCCCCUGCUCCUCAGCCUGGGUAGCUGAGCUCUGCUGGAGAAAACCACAUAGCCCUGCGGAUUGCUGCCACUGCAGAGCUUCCUCAAGCACAUGGAGGCAUCCAACAGGGCCCCCUCGACCUGAGGUCCAGCCCUCGUGAACUGAUCUGCGGCUGCAGUCAACCUUCUCGCCAGUCUCAGGAUGAGGUGGCCUUAACCUGCCUCAAAGCCUGCUCCUCCACCUGUGCUCUGGAGCCACCUCUGCCAGCAUCACUGGGGCCUCACUCCAGCCUCUCCCUUGCUCUGCUGGCUCUGGCUCUUGCUCUUCAACUUAUGAAUGUGUCUGAGUUUUUCUCAUCUUAAAACAAAACGAAACAAACAAUAAUAACCACAACACAAGCAAAUCUGCUUUGACCUUGAAUCCCUUUGUUGGGUUAUCACCAGCUUAGCACUCCUUCCCCUCCCAUCUCAAAAGAGCAGUCUUCACUCAGUAGUCUCAGUUUCCUCACUACCCUCUUACUCAACCUGCUGCAAUUUGGUGUUCACCCCUAGAACUGCUUUGGUCUAAUUACCAAAUCCAGGGACCCAUUUCAGUCUCUGUGUCUGUAGCAUUAAUGCUGUUUAUCACUCCCUCCUAGAAAAUGCCUGUGCUCAUUGCUAUUUCCUAUGAACUGCCAAGGCCUAAAUCUCCUUAACCCAGCUUUCCCCCCAUAAUUCAGCCUUCUGUACUCAACUGCAUGCCAAACUUCUCCCCUUGGAUGGCCCAUAGGCACCCUAUUGUGACCAAGAGAGAAUUGGUCAUCUUAAUCCCCAUCCCAACCCCAAAGUGAUCUUCCUCCUCCUUUGUUCCCAAUCUCACUUGGUGGUGGUACCAUCUACCCUGUCCUGUUGACUCCUGAGUACUUCCCAAAUCUGAGAUUUUUGUGUUGCUGUGUCUACUCCCAUAGUGUCUCCUUCCCUGUACCAGACUAGGCUUUUCAAGGACAAGGGCUAUGCAUUAAUUAUCUGUGCCUCAGCACACCACACAAAUGUAGGCCUCAGCGAAUGUCAUCAAAGUGAACUGUGCUCUGCUGUCUCCUUGGUAGCAGCACUGUCCUUGGUGGGAGCUGACCCAGUGACUGAGGGAUGAAUGAAGUGGGAGACUGGAUGCCAAAACCCUCUUAGUCCCCUGAUCACCUUUUUCAGUACAAAGUUCUUUCUUGAAUCCUUAUGGCAUUUGGAGCACAGUAGUUUUUAUAGGAUUUUAAAAAAGUGACCUCAUAGACAAUCUCAGCCAAAUCUCCUCUAGGAGAUGAGUGUGAACCAAACAGCCUCACUGCCAGAUGUGUGUGCUCUAGACUAGAACCGACAAAGAUGGGUGGGAAACUGGGAGGAGAGCCAAAAGGGAUUGGCGGAGUCAGGAUGGAGCAUCAAAGAGGCAUUUGAGCAGUUCAAGUAGGGAAAAUAAAGGAAGUUUCAAAGUACAGAAGGAACAUAGUGUAUGUACUGGUGAGAGGGAGUGAAAAGAGCAGCAUGGAGAGGUUUGGAUAGGUGGCCUUCAAGGUACUUUCCAAUCCUAAGCGCCUGCAGAAUGGAAGCUGCUGGUCUUGGAGAAGUCUGGACCACAGAGAUCUUCUCCCAACCCAAGCAUGCCAGAGGGAUGCGACACAUGCCAGCAGUAACAGCGGCUC